rnacentral:rRNA from 1 species
UACGUAGGUGGCAAGCGUUGUUCGGAAUUAUUGGGCGUAAAGGGCGCGUAGGCGGUUUGCUAAGUCAGUUGUGAAAGCCCGGGGCUCAACCCCGGAGGGUCGGCUGAUACUGGUGGACUAGAGUACGGAAGAGGCAGCUGGAAUUCCUGGUGUAGCGGUGAAAUGCGCAGAUAUCAGGAAGAACACCCGUGGCGAAGGCGGCUCUCUGGAACGCAACUGACGCUGAGACGCGAAAGCGUGGGGAGCAAACAGG